rnacentral:rRNA from 1 species
UACGGGGGGGGCAAGCGUUGUUCGGAAUUACUGGGCGUAAAGGGCGCGUAGGCGGCCUGCUAAGUCGGACGUGAAAUCCCUCGGCUCAACCGGGGAACUGCGUCCGAUACUGGUGGGCUCGAAUCCGGGAGAGGGAUGUGGAAUUCCAGGUGUAGCGGUGAAAUGCGUAGAUAUCCGAAGGAACAUCAGUGGCGAAAGCGGCUUCCUGGACCAGAACUGACGAUCAGGCACGAAAGCGUGGGGAGCAAACAGG